CCUACGGGUGGCAGCAGUGAGGAAUAUUGGGCAAUGGGCGGAAGCCUGAACCAGCCAAGUAGCGUGCAGGAUGACGGCCUUACGGGUUGUAAACUGCUUUUAUACGGGAAUAACGCGCCUUACGUGUAGGGCUUUGCAUGUACCGUAUGAAUAAGGACCGGCUAAUUCCGUGCCAGAAGCCGCGGGAAUGCGGAAGGUCCGGGCGUUAUACGGAGUUAUUGGGUUGAAAGGGAGCGUAGGCCGCAGGUCAAGCGUGCUGUGAAAGGUCCGGGCUCCACCCGGGCCGUGCAGCGCGAACUGGCGUUCGUGAGUCCGCGGAAAGCAGGCGGAAUUCGUCGUGUAGCGGUGAA
rnacentral:rRNA from 1 species